GCGCCGGUGGUGUAAGGCGAACAUCGCUGCCCGGAAAGCAGAAGAUGCGGGUUCAAGUCCCGCCUGGCGCA
rfam:Heligmosomoides polygyrus genome assembly, scaffold: HPBE_scaffold0000830